rnacentral:tRNA from 1 species
GGGCCCGUAGCUCAGGCGGUAGAGCAGCUGGCUUUUAACCAGAAGGUCACAGGUUCGAGUCCUGUCGGGCCCA